rnacentral:rRNA from 1 species
UGGAGAGUUUGAUCCUGGCUCAGGACGAACGCUGGCGGCGUGCUUAACACAUGCAAGUCGAACGGUAAGGCCCUUCGGGGUACACGAGUGGCGAACGGGUGAGUAACACGUGGGUAAUCUGCCCUGCACAUCGGGAUAAGCCUGGGAAACUGGGUCUAAUACCGAAUAGGACCACAGGACACAUGUCCUGUGGUGGAAAGCUUUUGCGGUGUGGGAUGGGCCCGCGGCCUAUCAGCUUGUUGGUGGGGUGAUGGCCUACCAAGGCGGACGACGGGUAGCCGGCCUGAGAGGGUGUCCGGCCACACUGGGACUGAGAUACGGCCCAGACUCCUACGGGAGGCAGCAGUGGGGAAUAUUGCACAAUGGGCGAAAGCCUGAUGCAGCGACGCCGCGUGGGGGAUGACGGCCUUCGGGUUGUUAACCUCUUUCACCAUCGACGAAGGUCCGGGUUUUCUCGGGCUGACGGUAGGUGGACAAGAAGCACCGGCCAACUACGUGCCAGCAGCCGCGGUA